rnacentral:lncRNA from 1 species
GAGGAUGAGAGAGAUAAAAAGAGGGACAGUAGAGCUUACCCAAGAAGAAGAAGAGAGCAAAGAUGGGGGUCUUGUGCCUUGGUGUUCAAAGGAAAUGAAGAAAUAAAGUAGGGUUGAAAGAGAGGAGGACGGGAUAGCAUGAAGGGAUGGGAGCGAGAGAGUGUGUGGAGGUAGUCUACAUGGAAAAAAAAGAAAAAGAAAAAGAA